GUCGAGCGGCAGCACGGGUACUUGUACCUGGUGGCGAGCGGCGGACGGGUGAGUAAUACCUAGGAAUCUGCCUGGUAGUGGGGGAUAACGUUCGGAAACGGACGCUAAUACCGCAUACGUCCUACGGGAGAAAGCAGGGGACCUUCGGGCCUUGCGCUAUCAGAUGAGCCUAGGUCGGAUUAGCUAGUUGGUGAGGUAAUGGCUCACCAAGGCUACGAUCCGUAACUGGUCUGAGAGGAUGAUCAGUCACACUGGAACUGAGACACGGUCCAGACUCCUACGGGAGGCAGCAGUGGGGAAUAUUGGACAAUGGGCGAAAGCCUGAUCCAGCCAUGCCGCGUGUGUGAAGAAGGUCUUCGGAUUGUAAAGCACUUUAAGUUGGGAGGAAGGGCAUUAACCUAAUACGUUAGUGUUUUGACGUUACCGACAGAAUAAGCACCGGCUAACUCUGUGCCAGCAGCCGCGGUAAUACAGAGGGUGCAAGCGUUAAUCGGAAUUACUGGGCGUAAAGCGCGCGUAGGUGGUUCGUUAAGUUGGAUGUGAAAUCCCCGGGCUCAACCUGGGAACUGCAUUCAAAACUGUCGAGCUAGAGUAUGGUAGAGGGUGGUGGAAUUUCCUGUGUAGCGGUGAAAUGCGUAGAUAUAGGAAGGAACACCAGUGGCGAAGGCGACCACCUGGACUGAUACUGACACUGAGGUGCGAAAG
rnacentral:rRNA from 1 species